AAAUGAAUAGACGGGUACCCGCACAAGCGGUGGAGCGUGUGGCUUAAUUCGAUGCCGAGCGAAGAACCUUACCAAGAUUUGACAUGGCAAUUAUCCCCUUUGGUAAUUCUUUGGGGUCAUGUUGUCACAGGUCCUGCAUGGCUGUCGUCAGCUCGUGUCGUGAGGUGUACGGUUAAGUCCGGUAACGAGCGCAACCCACAUCCCAUGUUACAAGUGUCUUGGGAGACUGCCUCGGUAAAACGGGGAGGAAGGAGUGGAUGACGUCUGGUCAGCAUUAGCCUUAUGUCUUGGGCUGCACACGCGCUACAAUGGUUAGUACAAUAGGAAGCAAUGCGGUAACGCGGAGCAAAUCCUUAAAACUAGCCUUAGUUCGGAUUGAGGGCUGCAACUCGCCCUCAUGAAGUUGGAAUCGCUAGUAAUCGUGGGUCAGCAUACCACGGUGAAUACGUUCUCGGGUAUUGUACACACCGCCCGU
rnacentral:rRNA from 1 species